AUGUUACUGCAAGGUUAUGAACCAAGUUUAGAGCCUUACAUGUUGAUGAUUCUUAAGGCCCAUCAAGAUAAUAGGCUGACUGGCAUAAGAACUAGAUGUAAGAUUCAUGUUCCGAAAGGCCAUGUUCUUAUUGGUUGUUUGGACGAAACAGGCGAAUUAAAAUAUGGUCAAGUGUACAUCAGAAUUACAAAAAAACAGCAAAGAGCAGAAGGAUAA
rnacentral:rRNA from 1 species